GAUGAACGCUGGCGGCGUGCCUAAUACAUGCAAGUCGAGCGAACAGACGAGGAGCUUGCUCCUCUGACGUUAGCGGCGGACGGGUGAGUAACACGUGGAUAACCUACCUAUAAGACUGGGAUAACUUCGGGAAACCGGAGCUAAUACCGGAUAAUAUAUUGAACCGCAUGGUUCAAUAGUGAAAGACGGUUUGGCUGUCACUUAUAGAUGGAUCCGCGCCGCAUUAGCUAGUUGGUAAGGUAACGGCUUACCAAGGCAACGAUGCGUAGCCGACCUGAGAGGGUGAUCGGCCACACUGGAACUGAGACACGGUCCAGACUCCUACGGGAGGCAGCAGUAGGGAAUCUUCCGCAAUGGGCGAAAGCCUGGCGGAGCAACGCCGCGUGAGUGAUGAAGGUCUUCGGAUCGUAAAACUCUGUUAUUAGGGAAGAACAAAUGUGUAAGUAACUAUGCACGUCUUGACGGUACCUAAUCAGAAAGCCACGGCUAACUACGUG
rnacentral:rRNA from 1 species